rnacentral:lncRNA from 1 species
CAAGCCAUUCUGAUUUCUAUUCCGGUUCCGAUUUCGAUUCUAGUUAUGAACUAGGGGGUGCUUGGUUCGCUACCAUAUUCAAAAUAGAAAUAAAAAUUUGAAUCCAUAUGAAAGAGUGGGUAUUGAGUUCUAAAUAGAUUAGACCAUUUCAAUUCUAUUUCAGAAUCGGAAUGGGAUCCUCCAACCAAACGGUUGGAAG